UACGGGAGGCAGCAGUGGGGAAUUUUGGACAAUGGGGGAAACCCUGAUCCAGCAAUGCCGCGUGUGCGAAGAAGGCCUUCGGGUUGUAAAGCACUUUUGUCAGGGAAGAAAUCCUUUGGGCUAAUACCCUAGGGGGAUGACGGUACCUGAAGAAUAAGCACCGGCUAACUACGUGCCAGCAGCCGCGGUAAUACGUAGGGUGCAAGCGUUAAUCGGAAUUACUGGGCGUAAAGCGUGCGCAGGCGGUUGUGUAAGACAGGUGUGAAAUCCCCGGGCUUAACCUGGGAAUUGCAUUUGUGACUGCACGACUAGAGUGUGUCAGAGGGGGGUGGAAUUCCACGUGUAGCAGUGAAAUGCGUAGAUAUGUGGAGGAACACCAAUGGCGAAGGCAGCCCCCUAGGAUAACACUGACGCUCAUGCACGAAAGCGUGGGGAGCAAACAGGAUUAGAUACCCUGGUAGUCCACGCCCUAAACGAUGUCAACUAGUUGUUGGGGAUUUACUUCCUUGGUAACGUAGCUGACGCGUGAAGUUGACCGCCUGGGAGUACGGCCGCAAGGUUAAAACUCAAAGGAAUUGACGGAAGGGC
rnacentral:rRNA from 1 species